rnacentral:rRNA from 1 species
UUCCAGACUCCUACGGGAGGCAGCAGUGGGGAAUAUUGCACAAUGGGGGGAACCCUGAUGCAGCGACGCCGCGUGAGUGAAGAAGUAUUUCGGUAUGUAAAGCUCUAUCAGCAGGGAAGAAGAUGACGGUACCUGACUAAGAAGCCCCGGCUAACUACGUGCCAGCAGCCGCGGUAAUACGUAGGGGGCAAGCGUUAUCCGGAUUUACUGGGUGUAAAGGGAGCGUAGACGGCAGGGCAAGUCUGGAGUGAAAGCCCGGGGCCCAACCCCGGGACUGCUUUGGAAACUGUGCAGCUAGAGUGCAGGAGAGGUAAGUGGAAUUCCUAGUGUAGCGGUGAAAUGCGUAGAUAUUAGGAGGAACACCAGUGGCGAAGGCGGCUUACUGGACUGUAACUGACGUUGAGGCUCGAAAGCGUGGGGAGCAAACAGGAUUAGAUACCCUCGUACAU